UACAGGGGGUGCAAACGUUGCUCGGAAUCAUUGGGCGUAAAGCGCACGUAGGCGGUUCGUUAUGUCGGAUGUGAAAGCCCUCGGCUCAACUGAGGAAGUGCACCCGAAACUGGCGAGCUAGAGUACGAAAGAGGAUCGCGGAAUUCCCGGUGUAGAGGUGAAAUUCGUAGAUAUCGGGAGGAACACCGGUGGCGAAGGCGGCGAUCUGGGUCGAUACUGACGCUGAGGUGCGAAAGCGUGGGGAGCAAACAGG
rnacentral:rRNA from 1 species